GGGCUCGUAGCUUAGCUGGUAAAGCGCCGCGUUCGCAACGCGGAGACCGAGGGUUCGAAUCCCUUCGGGUCCACCA
rnacentral:tRNA from 1 species